GCCUACGGGGCGCAGCAGUGAGGAAUAUUAGUCAAUGGUCGGGAGACUGGACCAGCCAAGCCGCGUGAGGGAUGAAGGUACAGAGUAUCGUAAACCUCUUUUGUCAGGGAACAAAGGCGGGGACGUGUCCCCGGAUGAGUGUACCUGAAGAAAAAGCAUCGGCUAACCCCGUGCCAGCAGCCGCGGUAAUACGGAGGAUGCGAGCGUUAUCCGGAUUUAUUGGGUUUAAAGGGUGCGCAGGCGGUCUGUUAAGGCAGCGGUCAAAGCCCGGGGCUCAACCCCGGCCCGCCGUUGAAACUGGCAGG
rnacentral:rRNA from 1 species